rnacentral:rRNA from 1 species
AUGAAUUGGAUGCAGUUUGGAGAUAAAAAUACAGCUUUUUUCCAUGCCUUUGCUUCGGAGAGGAAAAAGCGUAAUACCAUUCAGAAGCUGAGGAAAGAAGAUGGGUCCUGGGUAGAGAAGGCAGAAGAACUAAAGGAAUAUAUUUCAAAUUAUUUCUUUAGGUUGUUUACUUCAACGGCAGGGCAGGACAAUGAUAUAAUUCUGCAAUCAGUUCAACCUAGAGUAACUGAUCAAAUGAACGAGCUCCUUUGUGUAGAAUAUACUGAAGAAGAAGUGAAAGCUGCCUUGAAUAAUAUUGGUGAUCUAAAGGCUGCCGGACCUGAUGGCAUGCCUGCAAUCUUUUUUAAGAGAUUCUGGAGCACCGUAGGAGAGCAAGUAACCAAGGAGGUGCUCAAGGUGUUGAGAGGUGGUGAGAUGCCUGAAGAGUGGACCAACACCAUGAUAGUUCUGAUUCCAAAAAACAGCUAG